ACCAGUGUAGUAUAGUGGUUUGAGUGCUGGACUAUGACUCUAGAGGUCAGGGUUCGAUUCCUGCUCAGCCA
rnacentral:tRNA from 1 species